GAUGAACGCUGGCGGCGUGCCUAAUACAUGCAAGUCGAGCGAACGGACGAGAAGCUUGCUUCUCUGAUGUUAGCGGCGGACGGGUGAGUAAAACGUGGAUAACCUACCUAUAAGACUGGGAUAACUUCGGGAAACCGGAGCUAAUACCGGAUAAUAUUUUGAACCGCAUGGUUCAAAAGUGAAAGACGGUCUUGCUGUCACUUAUAGAUGGAUCCGCGCUGCAUUAGCUAGUUGGUAAGGUAACGGCUUACCAAGGCAACGAUGCAUAGCCGACCUGAGAGGGUGAUCGGCCACACUGGAACUGAGACACGGUCCAGACUCCUACGGGAGGCAGCAGUAGGGAAUCUUCCGCAAAGGGCGAAAGCCUGACGGAGCAACGCCGCGUGAGUGAUGAAGGUCUUCGGAUCGUAAAGCUCUGUUAUUAGGGAAGAACAUAUGUGUAAGUAACUGUGCACAUCUUGACGGUACCUAAUCAGAAAGCCACGGCUAACUACGUG
rnacentral:rRNA from 1 species